rnacentral:rRNA from 1 species
CGCGGUAAUUCCAGCUCCAAUAGCGUAUACUAAAGUUGUUGCGGUUAAAAAGCUCGUAGUUGGAUCUUGGAAUGUGUUCAAGCGGGUCAGCUUCUGGCUGUGCGCUGCUUGACGUGUUCUUCUAUUUGGUUUUGGUGCGGUGCGCUUAACUGCGUGUCGCUCCCGGCCGAAACGUUUACCUUGAAAAAAUUAGAGUGUUCAAAGCAGACCUGUUUGAGUCUGAAUAUUCGUGCAUGGAAUAAUGAAAUAUGAAUUCGGUUCUAUUUUGUUGGUUUUCGGAACUCGAGUUAAUGAUCAAGAGGGACAGACGGGGGCAUUCGUACUCUGCCGUUAGAGGUGAAAUUCUUGGAUCGGCGGAAGACGCGCAACUGCGAAAGCAUUUGCCAAGAAUGUUUUCUUUAAUCAAGAACGAUAGUCGGAGGUUCGAAGACGAUCAGAUACCGUCCUAGUUUCGACUGUAAACUAUGCCAGCUAACGAUCAGACAGAGUUCUCUACGACUUGUCUGGCAGUUUCCGGGAAACCAAAGCGUUUGGGUUCCGGGGGAAGUAUGGUUGCAAAGCUGAAACUUAAAGGAAUUGACGGAAGGGCACCACCAGGAGUGGAGCCUGCGGCUUAAUUUGACUCAACACGGGGAAACUCACCCGGCCCGGACACAGUGAGGAUUGACAGAUUGAGAGUUCUUUCUUGAUUCUGUGGGUGGUGGUGCAUGGCCGUUCUUAGUUGGUGGAGCGAUUUGUCUGGUUAAUUCCGAUAACGAACGAGACUCUGGCAUGUUAAAUAGUCGCGGAAGUGCGUAUGCACUUGCCGAAUUGACUUCUUAGAGGGACUAGUGAUUUUAAUUCACACGAGAUUGAGCAAUACACAGGUCUGUGAUG